rnacentral:rRNA from 1 species
UACAGAGGUCUCAAGCGUUGUUCGGAUUCAUUGGGCGUAAAGGGUGCGUAGGCGGCGCGGUAAGUCGGGUGUGAAAACUCGAGGCUCAACUUCGAGCUGUCGGCGGAAACUAUCUGGCUAGAGUCCGGAAGAGGAGAGUGGAAUUCCUGGUGUAGCGGUGAAAUGCGUAGAUAUCUGGAGGAACACCGGUGGCGAAGGCGGCACCCUGGACCAACACUGACGCUGAGUGAGCGAAAGCCAGGGGAGCAAACGGG